UACGUAGGUGGCAAGCGUUGUCCGGAUUUACUGGGCGCAAAGAGCGCGCAGGCGGUCGUAUAAGUCGAAUGUGAAAGCCCCCGGCUCAACUGGGGAGGGUCAUUCGAUACUGUUCGACUCGAAGGCAGGAGAGGGAAGUGGAAUUCCGGGUGUAGUGGUGAAAUGCGUAGAUAUUGGGAGGAACACCAGUGGCGAAGGCGACUACCUGGCCUGUUUCUUGACGCUGAGGCGCGAAAGCUAGGGGAGCAAACGGG
rnacentral:rRNA from 1 species